rnacentral:lncRNA from 1 species
CUAUAUCAGUCUAAGUGUCGAUAUGGAUUGACCUAUACCAAACGUCAAGAGCAGUCAAAGGUCAAGUAGGGUUGACUCUAACCAAAGAUUGGGAUGAGAUGACCAAGGUUGAAGGUCAAGAGGGGUCGGCUAGGGUCGAUGAUGCAAAAAGGUUAGCUCGAGUCGAAUGACGAGAGCGUGUCAAAGGUCAAGAUGGGUCGGACCGAGACGACAAUUGAGACGAGUCAGCCUGGGUCAAGACGAGUCAGUCCGGC